UAUCAUGAUGAACAAGAGCCAUGUGCUCGAAUAAUCCCAGCUCGUCGACAGCAGCCUCAUUUACAAAUCUCACGUUAGAGGCUGUUAUGAGAGAAAGUCCAACCCUGAAAU
rnacentral:snoRNA from 1 species